rnacentral:rRNA from 1 species
GACGUAGGGCGCGAGCGUUGUCCGGAUUUAUUGGGCGUAAAGAGCUCGUAGGCGGCUUGUCGCGUCGACUGUGAAACCCGCGGCUCAACCGUGUGGUCUGCAGUCGAUACGGGCAGGCUAGAGUUCGGUAGGGAGACUGGAAUUCCUGGUGUGAGCGGUGAAUGCGUAGAUAUGUGGAGGAAUACCGAUGGCGAAGGCAGCCCCUGGGAUCAAGCACUGACGCUCAUGCAGCGAAAGCGUGGGAGCAACAGGUUAGAAACCGAGUAGAUCCAG